GGCGUGUGAUCAACAAUUAUCACAGUGCCACGCCUCUAUGGUGGCGCACAUUUUUUUACUAACUAUCGUUUUCCCUUGUUUUAGCCGCGAUUGCCGUGAAAAUCCGCCGAAUCAAUUUUGUUACGGAGAAGAAGAAGAUGUUUUCUUCUUUGACGAACUCAAGACCUGCAAAUAUACAAUAGAGCAAAACAUGAGAAGGAGAGCAAAACGUGAGCAAGCUGACUACUAUUUUUGCUUUCUGCCCAUCUUUAAUUUCCUAGACGUCAUGGAGAGGUUAGUUAUUUUUUAUUUGAUAUUAUUACUUCUACUUGCUUGACUAUCUGCUAAUUCGCUACACGUAUGCACAAUUUACUUGUCUUAGGAAAUUUGCACCUAGAAAUUACUUGUAAUUAUUUAUUUUAUGGUUUAAGCAUUUAGGACAAAUAUAUAGAUAAUAAUUUUUUUUUUAUUGAAAAUUUAAGAUUUCACAUAUAGUUUAAAGCCUUAAAAGAUAGCAAUUUAGUUUAAUUAAUUUCAUUCUUAUCGAUUAAUAACCCAAUUAUCUCACAUAGUCAAAAUUCGGCUGGGACCCACAUUUGUGGACCUCGAAGAGUGCCUAACUCUUUCUCUUUGAGGUAAUUCGAACCCUUACCCGAUCUUUAGUGACGCAGACUGGUUUAACCGGAGUUAUCUGCGAAUAGGUGCCCUAACGCACCUUAAGAUCGUUAGGUGGCGACUCUUCUAUUUUAACACCCAUUUAAAAGAGUUGUUACACGUCGAAGCCCACUUUUAUGAGAAAACGGUGCGUGACAACAUGCUCCAAAAAGGCAACUGAGUCUAACCAAUAUUUGCAUUUUGAAAAUUUGGCAUAUAACUGAUUAUUCUUCAAAGUCCGAAGCACAGUCCGAAGAUGUUGCUCAUGCUCCUCUCGACUGCUGGAGUAAAUCAAGAUGUCAUCAAUGAAUACAACCACAAAGGAAUCCAGAUAGGGCUUGAACACCUGGUUCAUCGAAUCCAUAAAUGUUGCUGGGGCAUUUGUCAGCCCAAAUGACAUCACUAGAAAUUCAUAAUGUCCAUACCUAGUCCGAAAAGUUGUCUUAGGGACAUCAGAUGCCCUAAUCUUCAACUGAUGAUAGCCAGACCUCAAGUUAAUCUUCGAAAAUAACUUGGCACCCUAAAGGUGAUCGAAUAAGUCAUCAAUUCCUGGCAACGGAUACUUGUUCUUGAUAGUAGACUUGUUCAACUGCCGAUAAUCUAUACACAUCCGCAUUGAACCAUCUUUCUUCUUUACAAAUAACACUGGUGCACCCCAGGGUGAGACGCUAGGUCUAAUGAAUCCCUGGUCAAGCAAGUCUUGUAACUGCUCCUUCAAUUCCUUUAGUUCCGGCGGAACCAUACGGUAUGGUGGAAUAGAAAUGGGCUGGAUGCUCGGAGCCAAAUCAAUACAGAAGUCAAUAUCUCUGACGGGUGGCAUCCCCGGCAAAUCUGCAGGAAAUACUUCUGGAAAUUCACGAACAACUGGUACUGAGUCCAUAGAAGGAACAUCCGCACUAGGAUCGCGAAUAUAAGCCAAAUAGGCUAGACACCCCUUCUCGACCAUACGCUGAGCUUUCACGUAAGAGAUAACCCUGCUGGUGGAAUGGCCAUGAGUCCUUUUCCACUCUAUUCGAGGUAACCCCGGCAUGGCUAAGAUCACCGUUUUGGCGUGACAAUCCAAUAUAGCAUAAUAGGGUAACAACCAAUCCAUACCCAAGAUGACAUCAAAAUCCACCAUAUCAAGGAGUAGAAGAUCCACGCUAGUCUCAAGACUCCCAAUAAUAGCUACACACGAACGAUAGACAUGAUCUACCAUAACAGAAUCUCCCACUGGUGUGGACACACAUACAGGAGCACUCAAAGAAUCACGAGGCACAACCAAAUAUGAAGCAAAGUAGGAGGACACAUAAGAAUAAGUAGAUCCUGGAUCAAAUAAAACUGAAGCAUCUCUAUGGCAAACUGGAACAAUACCUGUGAUCACAGCAUCGGAUGACUCGGCCUCAGGCCUAGUUGGAAAAGCAUAAAAUUGGGGCUGGGCCCCACCACUCGGAGCUACAUCUCUGGGACAGCCUCUAACUAGCUGUCCUCCACCUCUAACAACCUUACCUCCACCUCUAACUGUCUGACCCCUGCCCCUAGCUGGUCGGGCGGGCGGUGGAGCAACCGGUGCUGGUAUGAUGGCACGAGAAUCCUGCUGAGAUCUGUUGCUCGACAACCUAGGGAAAUACCUCCUAAUGUGACCAAUGUUCCCAUACUCAUAACACCCAUCCUGUUGUCGUGGCUGUUGAAGCUUAAGCUGACCCGAACAGGUCGGAUAGCCACCAUAGUGACUCUAGAGUGGUGGUGCACUGAUAGGAGCUAGAUGUGCACUAAAUGUCGGUUGCCCAGAGUAAGGCAUAAUAGGACCAUGACUCUCUGAAGCACCGUGAGAUGCCUGAAGUGCUGAAAAAAAUGGCCUGGGAUAAUGACCCCUACCAUAAGUACCCCUGCCUCCAGAUGAGGCGCCUCUGAAAUUAUCGGAAUGACGGGGCCUUUAUCUUACACUGGCCCUCUCUCCUGUGAAAGAACCAUCUCGAUCCGCCUGGCGACAUUAGUAGCCAUCUGAAAAGAAAUCUCACUCCCGGUCUCCUUGGCCAUCUGUAGCUUGAUAGGUUGAACGAGUCCAUCAAUGAACCUCCUCAACGUCUCUCUCUCGGUAGGAUCAGAAGAAGAGCAUGAUGGGCUAUAUCCACUAANNNNNNNNNNNNNNNNNNNNNNNNNNNNNNNNNNNNNNNNNNNNNNNNNNNNNNNNNNNNNNNNNNNNNNNNNNNNNNNNNNNNNNNNNNNNNNNNNNNNNNNNNNNNNNNNNNNNNNNNNNNNNNNNNNNNNNNNNNNNNNNNNNNNNNNNNNNNNNNNNNNNNNNNNNNNNNNNNNNNNNNNNNNNNNNNNNNNNNNNNNNNNNNNNNNNNNNNNNNNNNNNNNNNNNNNNNNNNNNNNNNNNNNNNNNNNNNNNNNNNNNNNNNNNNNNNNNNNNNNNNNNNNNNNNNNNNNNNNNNNNNNNNNNNNNNNNNNNNNNNNNNNNNNNNNNNNNNNNNNNNNNNNNNNNNNNNNNNNNNNNNNNNNNNNNNNNNNNNNNNNNNNNNNNNNNNNNNNNNNNNNNNNNNNNNNNNNNNNNNNNNNNNNNNNNNNNNNNNNNNNNNNNNNNNNNNNNNNNNNNNNNNNNNNNNNNNNNNNNNNNNNNNNNNNNNNNNNNNNNNNNNNNNNNNNNNNNNNNNNNNNNNNNNNNNNNNNNNNNNNNNNNNNNNNNNNNNNNNNNNNNNNNNNNNNNNNNNNNNNNNNNNNNNNNNNNNNNNNNNNNNNNNNNNNNNNNNNNNNNNNNNNNNNNNNNNNNNNNNNNNNNNNNNNUUGGCCAUCUGUAGCUUGAUAGGUUGAACGAGUCCAUCAAUGAACCUCCUCAACGUCUCUCUCUCGGUAGGAAUCAGAAGAAGAGCAUGAUGGGCUAUAUCCACUAAGCGGGUCUCAUACUGAGUGACUGACAUACUGCCCUGCUGGAGACGCUCAAACUGUUUGCGGUAAUCCUUUCUCAAUGUGAUAGGGAGGAACUUCUAUAGAAAUAGCCAUGAGAACUACUCCCAUGUAAGUGCAGGCGAACCAACUGGUCUAGUAAAUACAUAAUCUUUCCACCACCUCUUGGCGGAAUCGCUCAUCUGAAACACAGCAAAAUCAAUCCCAUUGCUUUCGACUAUCCCCAUGUUCUGCAAUACUUCAUAGCAGCGGUCAAGAAAAUUCGGUGGGUCCUCAGAAGGUGUACCACUGAAAUGGAUUGGAAAUAGCUUGGUAAACUUGUCCAACCUCAACAAAGACUCAGAAGACAAAGCAGGCCUAUCACCGGUCUGUGCUGCAAUAACUGGUUGAACUACCCCCCAACUGGAUGGGCUACUGGAGCCUGAUACUGGGGAGUUUUUUGCUCCGGAGCGGGAGUAGUGGGAGUCUAUGCUCCUCCCCUAGCAUGUGAGACGGCUGGUGCCACUUGAAAUGCGUCAUUCUGGGCCACGCCCUCCAUAAGACUCACCAAAUGGACUAGAACGUCCUGAAGCACUGGAGUAGCUAUGAAUCCUUCCGGGGCCUGAACUGGUCCAACGGGUACAAUCUGAACUGGAACCUCCUGCUGAAGAACCACUUGAGGUUCCACUACGGGUGCUGCUGCUCGAGCUCUAACUUGAGCUCUGCCUCUGCCUCUGCCUCUGCCUCUACCUCGGCCUCUACCCCUGGUCAUAGUUUCCACUGGGGGCUCUGGUCCCUGUCCGUCGGUAGAUAUAUUAUGUGUUCUCACCAUCUGCGAGAGAAUAAGAACAGAAUGGUUCAAUCAUCGAUGAUAGAAUAAAAUCGCAUGACAGAAUAAGAAAGAAGUGAUAUUGUUCCUAAACUUUAUAGCCUCUGAGAUAUAAGUACAGACAUCUCCGUACCGUUCCUUCAUACUCUACUAAGCUUGCUCGUGACUCGUGAGACCUAAGUAACCUAGUGCUCUGAUACCAACUUGUCAUGACCCGAAAUUCCAACCUUCCGGACAGUGAUGGCGCCUAACAUUUCACUUGCUAGGCAAGCCAACGUUAGAAUAAUAUUAGCCAUUUUUAAAUAAUUUUAAAAAUUAAUUAAUAACAAAGAAACAAAUGCGGAAAUAAAGUCUGAAAUAAAGUGAAUAAUCCAUAAUAAUAGCGAUGUCUAAAAUACCAUCCCAGAACUGGUGUCACAAGUGCAUGAGCUACUAGAAUAAUACAAAUAAAGGUCUCAAUAAAUAAAUGAAGUUGUCUAAAAGAAAUACACAACUACGAUAAAGUGGAAGGGGACUUCAGAACUGCGAACGCCAUGCAGUUAUACCUCAAGUCUCCUGUGAAUAGCUAAAUCCGAGCAAAUCUACUGUAUGCCACUGGGACCAACUCUAGUAUCUGCACAAGAAGUGCAGAAUGUAGUAAGAGUAUAACCGACCCCAUGUACCCAGUAAGUUUAGAGUCUAACCUCGACGAAGUAGUGACUAGGCUAAGGCAAGUCACUUAUAUUAACUUGUGCGGAAUAAUAAUAAUAGCAACAAUAAAAGAAAUAAAACAGGUAUCUCAUUUCAACAGUUGAAGCCAACUCGGCAGUCAUAACCAAUUAUUAUUUCAAUCAGUUUUCGUUGCAGCGUGCAACCCGAUCACACAAUAUAUUCAUAUUCAAUUCCAUUGCGACGUGCAACCCAAUCCCACAAUAUAUUCAUUUUUAUUUAAUCUCGUUGCGGCGUGCAACCCGAUCCUCAAUAUAUCUUUUCAAUCAAUUCUCUUGCGGCGUGCAACCCGAUCCUCCAAUAUAUUCAUUUCAUCAAUUCUGUUGCGGCGUGCAACCCGCUCCUCCAAUAUAUUCAUUUCAUUAAUUUCGUUGCGGCGUGCAACCCGAUCCCACAAUAUAUAUAAUUUAUCAAUUCUUAUAAAAGAAAUUACUCCAAUAAAUGCAACAAUUAAUAUAAAAUUAUAAGACAACAAGCAUACAAUAAUUAUGAUUUAUUUAGAAAUAAGUGAUGACAAGUAGCAAUUAAUUGUGGAAAUUAAGGAGGAAAUAAGUAAUUUAAUAAUUAGUAUGCUAAAUGUCAAGUAGCAAUUAAGUCACAUAAAUCAAAUAAGCAUGUAGCAAUUAUAGCAUGGAUUCAAGGAAUAAUAUUGAUCAAGGAAUAUGAGAGAAACAAUUAAUAUAAUAAUUAAUUCAUGAUUUAAAAUAAUUUAUGAUUUUUAAAUAAUUAUGCAAACAAUUAAUUUGACGACGUAUAGACACUCGUCACCUCGCCUAUACGUCGUUCACAUGAAUUUCACAUAACAAAUAAUUCAAGGGUUCUAUUCCAUCAAGUCAAGGUUAACCACGACACUUACCUCGCUUCGCAACCAAUUUCAAGAUUCCAAUAAAUAUUUGCCUCGUGAAUUCAUGUCCGAAAGCUUCAAAUCUAGUCACAAACAAUUCAAUAUACUCAACACGAAUCAUAGGAAUUAAUUCCAUAUGAGUUUACUAAUUUUUCGGAAUAAAAUCCGAAAUUCAUUUUAAAAAUCGAUAGUGGGACCUAUGUCUCGAAUCCCGAGAAAACUCACAAAAUUCGAACAUCCGUUUCGAUACGAGUUCAACCAUACAAAAAUUAUCGAAUUCCGACAUCGGAUUGACCUUCAAAUCAUCAUUUUACAUUUUUGGAAGAUUUUAUAAAAAUCUGAUUUUUCUUUCAUAAAUUCACGGAUUCAUGAUGUAAAUGAAUAUGGAAUCAUGAAAUAUAAUCAAUAUAAGAUAAGGAACACUUACCCCAAUGUUUACCCGUAAAAAUCACCCAAAAAUCGCCUUACCCGAGCUCAAAAUCGUGAAUAAUAAAAAAUGGGACGAAAUCCCAUUUCCAGAGCUUAAGUUCUGUUGUCCAGGGAUUUCUUCUUCGCGAACGUGACAGGUCCCUCGCGUUCGCGAAGCACAUUUUGUGUUGCCCCAGAUUUCUUAUUCGCGAACGCGAGGGCAGUCUAGUGAAUACGAUGCUUUUCCAAGCUUGGCCUUCGCGAACGCGGUCUCCCCUUCGCGAACGUGAAGCCUUAUCACCUGGUGCCCAGCCAUGCCUCACCCUUCUACGCGAACGCUCCCACGCAUUCGCGAUGAACACUGCCCAUUACCCUUUGCUAACGCAGUUCCCUCUUCGCAAACGCGAAGAGUAAAUUUCGCUUGCCUAGAUUUCUUCUUCGCGAACGCAAGACCCCUCCCGCGAACGCGAAGAAGGAAACCAGACAGUGCAUCAGAAAAAUUCCAGCAAAGUUCCAAGUCCAAAAUUCAACCCGUUAACCAUCUGAAACUCACCCGAGUCCCCCGGGACCUCAACCAAAUACACCAACAAGUUCUAAAAUAUCAUACGAACUUAGUCGAAACCUCAAAUCAUAUCAAACAACGCUAAAACCACGAAUCAUACCUCAAUUCAAGCUUAAGGAACUUAAGAAUUAUCAAUCUCUACAUUCGAUACUGAAACCUAUCAAAUCAAGUCCGAUUGACCUCAAAUUUUGCGCACAAGUCAUAAAUGACAUAACGGACCUAUGAAAAUUUUCAGAACUGGAUUCCGACCCGGAUAUCAAUAAAAUUCAAUUUGUUGUCAAACUUUAAAAUCUUUAAGCCUUUAAGUUUCUAGUUUUCGUCAACUGGUGAUAAUUCAAGUUAGGGACUUCAAAAUUAAAUUUCGGGCAUACGCCCAAAUCCCAAAUCAUGAUACGAACCUAUCGGAACAGUAAAAUACUUAUCCAAGUUUGUUUGUUCAAAAUGUUAAUCAAAGUCAACUCAGUUGAGUUUUAAAGCUCUAUUUCAUAUUUUAAUCAAUUUUUCACAUAAAACCUUUCCGGAAAAUUAUACGGAUAGCGCACGCAAGUCGUGAAAAGCUAAAUGGUGCUAAUUGAGGUUUUAGAACACAUAAAUAAUAUUUAAAAUUAAAGAUGACAUAUUGGAUCAUCACAAGGAGGAUCUCCCGAAGAACCGCCUCAUAGUCCCAAAGUAAAUAUGCAGAACUAGGGGAUCUCCCGAGUAAACACCUCGUAGUCUGUACAUGGGGGAUCUCCUGAGUAAACGCCUCGUAGUCCCAAAGUAAAUAUGAGGUAUAGGGGGGGAUCUCCCGAGUAAACGUCUCGUAGUCCCAAAGUAAAUAUGCAGUACAUGGGAAUCUCUCGAGUAACCGCCUCGUAGUCCCAAAGUAAAUAUGCAGCAGGUAAUCGAAGGAAAACACAAAUUUCAGCAAGAAUCUUACAGUUAAAUAUUUAAUUUAAAUUAAGGAAAAAGAGGUAAUUCAACUAAGCAUGUUGCACAAAUUGCAAGUAAGAGUUAAGUCACGUAGACAUGCGAUACUAGGCUAAACAUGGUCACUACAUAUGCUAAGGCAACUCAGUUAAUGUGUUUUGAAAGAAGACAACUCGGUUAAGGAAAUUCAAAAGAUGACAAAUCAGCAAGAACCGAAUUUUCCAUAUUCAGCCCGUGUAUGCACUCGUCACCUCGCGUACACGGCGCUCACAUAUCACAAAUGGUUACAACAGUUUCAAAACCUAGGGGGAUUUUCCCCUACACAAGGUUAGACAAGUCACUUACCUCAAAUGUCGCUCAAUCAAUCAGUAGGAAUGUCUUUCCCUCGAUUUUCUGACUCUGAAUGGAACAAAUCUAGCCAAAAGCAAUUUCAUAACAUGAAUAUAAUUAAAAGAAACUAAUUUAAAUCAUAAAUCUACGACUUUAGCAAGGAAUUGAAAAAUCGCCCCAAAAAGUCGACCCGGACCCACGUCUCAGAAUCGAGUAAAAGUCACAAAAUAUGAACACCCAUUCAAUAUCGAAUUCACCCAUACCAAAACUAUCAAAUUCUGAUGCCAAGUCGCCCCUCAGAUCCCCAAAUUACACUUUCCAAAUCCCUAGCCUCAACUCCCACAUUCCACCUUAAACACACAUACUCUAGGUGAGGAAAACAACGGGGAAACAAGAUUAUUGAUCAAAAAUAAGCACAAGGGACUUACCUCAAGAAAUCCCUCGAAAAUGCUCUCAAAAAUCGCCAAACCCCAGCUCAAUGUCCAACAAAUGAUAAAAAUCCCGAGCCCUUGAAUUUACAAAAUCUGCCCAGGUUUUCCGCUUUUGCGGAUCAAAUUUCGCUUCUGCGGUACCGCUUUUGCAGAGAAGUCUCCGCAUCUGCAGAGUUCACUUGAAUCCCCAGGUUUUGCACCUGCGCGUAAAUCUCCACAUCUGCGGAUGUUCUUCUGCGGUCCCUCGUCUGCUUCUGCGGAAGCCUCCCCAAGCACUCACCCGCUUCUGCGAUCGAUUCCCCGCAGAAGCGACUCCGCUUCUGUGGCCCUCACACUGCACAUGCGACCACUGGUCAAUUACACUAGCUCUGCAUCUGUGCCCCAUUGCUCGCACCUGCGGUCAACCUUGCGCAGGUGCGAUUACACCAGAACCAGCCCAGCACCAGCAAAUCUUCUAAGUCUAAAAAUGAUUCGUUAACCAUCCGAAACUUACCUGAGACCCCCGGGACCUCAACCAAAUAUACCAACAAGACCUAAAAUAUCACACGAACUUAGUCGAGCCUUUAAAUCACAUCAAAUAACACUAAAAAUACGAAUUACACAUUGAUUCAAGCCUAAUGAACUUCAAAGUUUCAAACUUCUACAUCCGAGGCAGAAACCUAUCAAAUCAAGUCCGAUUGACUUCAAAUUUUGUACAGAAGUCAUAAUUGACAUUACGGACCUAAAGCCUAUUUGGAUGGGCUUAAAAGCUGGUCUAAAAGCUGGUCAAACUAGCUUUGACCUGCUUUUAAGCACUUUUUAACUUCUUGAAGUGUUUGGCAGCCAAAAAAGGGCUUAAAAGGUAAAAUUUGCUUUAAAAAAGCCAAAACCAACCCAACUUUUUCGAAAUUGGCUUAAAACCCAUAUUGCUUUGACCAAGGAUAUUAUAUUCUUAUCUCUUGUAAUUUUUCUUAAUCUCGAAAUUACCCCUCAGUAGAAAACUCAAAAUUGCAGCCUCUCCUUUCUUCUUCCUCCCAAAUCUGCAGCAUAUGCUUUCUUCUUCCUCUUCUUCCAUAACUUUCCCUAACUUCAACUCCAAUUUUGAAAGCCUCUUCAAUCCAUGUAAGUAUAAUAUUCCUGUUGAAUUUCAAUCCCUGGAGUGUUUUCAAAGUUUUGGAAUUAUGAAUAUCAUAAACAAGUCUUGGUUUUAAAUUUUUACCAUAACUUUCCCCAACUUCAACUCCAAUUUUGAAAGACUCUUCAAUCCACGUAAGUAUAAUAUUCCUGUUGAAUUUCAAACCCUGGAGUGUUUUCAAAGUUUUGGAAUUAUGAAUAUCAUACACAAGUCUUGGUUUUAAAUUUUUACCCAUUAAAAAUUGAAUACUACUAUGAUUUGUUUAUAGGAUGUACUAUAGAUUCUUGAUUUGUGUAGUUGCCCAAUUUACUCCAUUUGUAUAUGCUCUUUCAUAUGGUUUAAGACUUGACUCCAAUUUAUAUGACAUCAUUUCUUUGUUAGUUUCCCAAUUUACUCCAUUUUUAUCUUUUUAACAGAAAAAAAUGCUUACCAGUACUUGUUUACCAAACACUACAAUAGUUUUUUUUAAGCUUCAGCACUUUUAUCCAAACAGAUAACUGCUUAUUUAUAAAACAAGUUCCAGUACUUAAAAGCUGCUUUUAAGCACAAGUGCUUAAAAGCUACUUUUUUCCAGCUAAUCCAAACGGGCUCCUACUCCAACUUUCAGAAUCGGAAUCCGACCUCGAUAUCAAAAAGUCCACUCAGAGUUAAACUUCUCAAAAUCAUCAUUUUUCCAACUUUCGCCAAUUAGCGCUAAAAUGACCUACGGACCUCCAAUUCAACAUCCGAACAAUCUCCUAAGACCAAAAUUACCCUAUGGAGCUAUAGGAACCGUCAAAACUCUAUUCCGGAGUCGUCUUCACACAGUUCAAACUACAGUCAAUUCCUAUGACUUAAAGCUCCAUUUUAGGGACUAUGUGUCCCAUUUCACUCCGAAACCAAAAUAAAUCCUCCCGGCAAGUCACAAAACCCAAAAAUAAAUUAGAGGGAAUAGUAAAUAUGGUUUCGGGACUAAUUUCCUCAAUACGACCGGAUGGGUCGUUAUAUCCUCCCUUUCUUAAAACAAAUAUUCGUCCUCAAACGAGUGUAGAGACACGCUUGAAGUGGUGAAAAGAUGAGGAUAAUUUUUUCACAUAUCAUGCUCGGUCUCCCAUGUCGCCUCCUCGACCGGAUGACCCCUCCACUGAACUUUCACUGAAGCAAUAUUUUUUGACCUCGACUUUCGAACCUGUCUGUCCAAAGUGGGCACAAGCUCCUCAACAUAAGAUAGAUCAUUGUCCAACUGGACUGAGCUGAAGUCUAACACAUGAGACGAAUGGCCGUGAUACUUUCGGAGCAUGAAAACAUGGAACACUGGAUGAAUUGCAGAGAGACUAGGCGGUAGUGCAAGUCUAUAAGCCAUUUCUCCAGUCCUCUCAAGAAUCUCAAAAGGCCCGAUAUACCUAGGUCUCAACUUGCCCUUCUUUCCGAACCUCAUAACACCCUUCAUGGGAGAAACCCGGAGCAAGACCCGCUCUCCAACCAUGAAUGCAACGUCGCAAACCUUCCGAUCUGCAUAACAAUUCUACCUGGACUGGGCUGUACGAAGUCGAUCCUGAAUCAAUUUAACCUUCUCCAAGGCAUCCUGAACCAAGUCUGUACCUAAUAGCCUAGCCUCGCCCGGCUCGAACCAACCCACUGGAGAGCGGCACCGUCCACCAUACAAAGCCUCAAACGGCCCCAUCUGAAUGCUCGACUGAUAACUGUUGUUGUAGGCAAACUCCACAAGUGGCACAAACUGAUUCCAAGCACCUCCAAUAUCUGAAUAGUAUGCUCGGAUUGUCCGUUCGUCUGAGGGUGAAAUGUUAUAUUCAACUCCACGCGAGUACCCAACUCAUGUUGUAUGGCUCUCCAGAACCGUGAUGUAAACUUCGUACCCCGGUCAGAGAUGAUAAAUACCGGUACGCCAUGAAGUCUGACAAUCUCGCGGAUGUAAACAUGAGCCAGCUGCUCCGAAGAGUAAGUAGUAACCACAGGAAUGAAAUGAGCUGACUUGGUCAAUCUAUCCACAAUCACCCAAACCGCAUCGAACUUCCUCUGAGUCCGUGGGAGCCCAACAACAAAAUCCAUAGUGAUCCUCUCCCAUUUCCACUUUGGAAUCUCCAUCUUCUGAAGUAAUCCACCCGGUUGUUGAUGUUCAUACUUCACCUGCUGACAAUUUAGGCAACGAGCUAUAUAUUUCACUAUGUCCUUCUUCAUCCGCCUUCACCAAUAGUGCUACCUCAAGUCUUGAUACAUCUUCGCGGCACCUGGAUGAAUGGAGUACCGUGAACUAUGAACCUCUUGGAGGAUCAACUCACGCAAACCAUCUACAUUAGGCACACAUAGCAUGCCCUGCAUCCGUAAUACACUGCCAUCUCCAAUAGUUACUUCCUUGGCAUCACCGUGUUGAACUGUGUCCUUAAAGACAAGCAGAUAGGGGUCAUCAUACUGACGCUCCCUGAUGCGAUCAUAAAGAGAAGACUGAGAAACCACACAAGUCAAAACUCUGCUCGGCUCGGAAACAUCCAAUCUGACAAACUGGUUGGCCAAGGCCUGAACAUCCAAGGCUAAACUACCCAAACUCUCCGCUACUAGUAGAUAUGCUAAACUACCCAAACUCUCCGCCUUGUGACUCAAGGCAUCGGCCACCACAUUGGCCUUCCCGAGAUAAUAGAGAAUGGUGAUGUCAUAAUCCUUAAGCAACUUCAACCAUCUCCACUACAGCAAGUUAAGAUCCUUCUGUUUAAACAGAUGUUGUAGACUCCAGUGAUCGGUGAAAACCUCACAAGGAACACCAUAUAAAUAGUGUCGCCAGAUCUUCAAGGCAUGAACAAUAGCUGCUAACUCGAGGUCGUGAACAGGAUAAUUCUUCUCAUGAACCUUCAACUGUCUGGACGUGUACGCAAUCACCCUACCAUCCUGCAUCAACACUGCGCCGAGACAAUGCGCGAUGCAUCACAAUACACUGUGUAGGACCCCGAUCCGGUAUCUAACACUAAUAUUGAGGUUGUAGUCAAAAUAGUAUUGAGCUUUUGAAAGCUCUCCUCACACUCCUCGGUCCACCUGAACGGAGCACCCUUCUGGGUCAAUCUGGUCAUAGGUGAUGCAAUAGAUGAGAAACCCUCUACAAAUCGAUGGUAAUACCCCGCCAAGCUAAGAAAACUCCGGAUAUCCGUAGCUGAGGAUGGUCUGGGCCAACUCUGCACUGCUUCAAUCUUCUUCGGGUCUACCUUGAUCCCCUCACUCGAUACUACAUGACCCAAAAAUGCCACUGAAUCUAGCCAGAACUCACACUUCAAAAACUUUGCAUACAAUUCUUCUCCCUCAAGGUCUAAAGCAUAGUCCUCAGGUGCUACUCAUGAUCCUCCCGACUCUGGGAGUACACCAGAAUGUCGUCAAUAAAUACAAUAACGAAGGAGUCAAGAUAGGGCUGAAAUACAUUGUUCAUCAAGUGCAUGAAUAUUGCUGGGGUGUUGGUCAGCCCAAAAGACAUCACAAGGAACUCGUAAUGACCAUACUGAGUCCUGAAAGCAGUCUUGAAGAUAUCUGGCUCCCGAAUCUUCAACUGAUGAUAGCCUAAACGCAAGUCGAUCUUAGAGAAUACUCUGGUACCCUGAAGCUGAUCAAAUAGGUCAUCAAUAUGUGGCAAGGGAUACAUGUUCUUCACUGUAACUUUGUUCAACUGCCGAUAUUCAAUACACAUUCUCAUAGAACCAUCCUUCUACUUCACAAACAAGACAGGAGCACCCCAUGGUGACACACUGGGCCGAAUGAAGCUCUUAUCCAGCAACUCUUGCAACUGUUCCUUUAACUCUUUCAACUCUGCUGGGGCCAUAUGAUAAGGUGGAAUAGAAAUGAACUGAGUGCCCGGUAACAAAUCAAUACCAAAGUCAAUAUCUUUGUCAAGCGGCAUGCACGGAAGAUCUGCUGGAAAUACGUCUGCAAAAUCCCUCACGACCGGACCUAACUCGACAGUAGGAGUAUCAACACUAACAUCUCUCACAUAGGCCAGAUAUGCAUCACACCCCUUCUCAACCAUUUGCUGAGCUUAAAAAAAUGAAAAAACCCUGUUAGGAACAUGAUCCAAGGUACCUCUCCACUUUAGUCACGGUAGACCUGGCAUAGCCAACGUCACGUCUUGGAAUGACAAUCAAGGAUAUCGUGAUAGGGCGACAACCAGUUCAUGCCCAAAAUAACAUCGGAAUCCACCAUACUAAGCAAUAAUAAAUUGUCUUUGGUCUCAAAACCACUAAGAACAAUCAAAUAUGACUGAUACACACGGUCAACAGCAAUGGAAUCACCCACCGGUGUAGAUACAUAAAUAGGUGAACUCGAAGAAUCACGGGAUACACCCAAAUACGAAGCAAAAUAAGAUGACACAUAGGAAUAAGUGGAGCCUGGAUCAAAUAAGACUGAUGCAUCUCUAUGACAGACCGGAACAAUACUUGUGAUAACAGAAUCUGAUGCAACUGCCUCUGUCCUAGCAGGAAAGGCAUAAUAUCUGGCCUUCUCCCUCUAGGGCGACCUCUACCUGUCCGACCUCCACCUCCAACUGGUUGUGCAUGUGGGGUGGUAGCUGGUGAUGUAAUCAUACCUGAGGACCAGGUAGAGCAUGUGAUGCCUGAGAAACCUGUGGAGGUGCACCCCUACUGAAUCUGGGGCAAUCCAUCACCAAAUGACGAGUGUCACCGUACUCAAAACAAGCUCUCACAGGACAUGGCUGUUGUGACUGGCUCGGGAUUGAUCGACUGGACUGACCACUGGAAGCACCCCGUACAUGAGGCGCACUAGACACUGGCGGUGCAUAAUAAGGAUCAUGGGCCUAGUAGUGGCUAGAGCACCACUGGCAGCUUGAAGUGCUGAAUGAACAGGGCGAUCCAUAUAACCUCUGCCCUGACGAGCUGUAGCUGGGGCACGAGUACCACUAUAAGUGCCAGACUCUCGAGACCUCUUCGCCUCUGUUUCCUCUCUAUCCCGAGUCAACAUGCCCUCCUACCUCCUAGCAAUCCCUACUACCUUCUGGUACGUAAUAUCCAUCUCCAACUUGCGGGUCAUGCUUAAUCUGAUACUGGGAUUGAGCCCCUCAAUGAACCGACGAACCCACUCUCGAACAGUAGCGACCAGGGCUGGUGCAUGCCUCGCCAAAUCACUAAAUCGGACCGCAUAUUCUUCUACGGUCAUAACACCCUGGCGCAAAUGCUCAAACUCCGCGGGCCAAGCAUUCCUGAUACUCUGGUAACAUACUCCCUCAAGAACAUGUCUGAGAACUGAUUCCAAGUGAGCGAAGCUACCUCAGCCGGACUAUCCAACUAGUAUAUGCACCACCACUGGUAGGCCGCUCCUCUAAGUUGGAAUAUAGUGAAAGAAACCCCACUAGUCUCCGCAACACCCAUAGUAUGGAGGAUACGGUGGCACUCCUCAAGAAAACCCUAGGCAUCCUCUGACGCCAAGCCACUAAAAGUAGGUGGGUGGUACUUCUUGUACCUCUUGAGUCUGAGCUGCUCUGGCUCAGAAGUUGCUGCCCUAACCUCGGGCUGAACUGGAGCUACCGGCUGUAUCGGUAUGAUCUCUAGAUCCUGGUCUACCUGAACCCGCUACUCUGGGGUACCGGCGACGGGAGUCUGUGCUCCUCCCCUGGCCUAAGAUGUGGCAGGAGCAAGAGGUAUCAAUCCUGCCGAAGCCAAGGUACUGAACAUGCUCAAGAACUGGGCUAGAGUAUCCUGGAGGGCUGGUGCAGUAACAUGCAUCUCGGGUGCCUGCCCUCCAACUGGAGCUACUGGUGGCUCCUCUGUGAUAGCUCGUGCAAGUGUUCUGACUGCACCACGUGGAUGUCCUCGGCCUCUACCUCGGCCCCGGUCCCGGCCUCUCGCGUCUCUAGCAGGGGGCAUGGGUAUCUGAUCAUCCGAUCUAGUUAUAUGUGUCCUCACCAUCUGUGAGAGAAUAGAAAGAUAGAAGUUUAGAGCACGAUAAGGAAAUCAAGAAAGUGAAACUUUUCCUAACAAUUCCAUAGCCUCCCAAAGAUAAGUACAGACGUCUCUGUACCGAUCCGCGAGAUUCUACUAAACCUGCUUGUGACUCAUAACACCUAUGAACCUAGAGCUCUGAUACCAACUUGUCAUGACCCCAUUUUUUCCUAUGUAGGACGUCGUGAUGGCACCUAGUCUCUAAGACUAGGUAAGCCUACAAAUAUGCGGAAUCAAUGAAUAAUAAAUUGAACUCCAAUUUCAACACAUGAUAUAUAAAUAUAAAACUGCCAUUCAAUAAAUACAACUCCCAAAACCCGGUGGAAACAAGUCACAAGCUUCUAAUAGAAAUACUAAGUGUCUCUAUACCUCAUGUCUAAAGAGAAUCAGGAAAAUAACAUAAUAAGGAUAGAGGGGGACUCCGAGAUCUGCAGAUGCUGGCAGAUAUACCUUGAAGUCUCCAUGUGUGGUCUCACUCACUGGUAUCUAGUCUGGUGGGAAGAACCUGGAUCUGCACAAAAGAUGUGCAGAGUGUAGUAUGAGUACGCCACAACGGUAGCCAGUAAGUGCCAAGCCUAACCUCGGUAGAGUAGUGACGAGGUCAGGUCAGGGCCCUAAUGGUUUAAAAGAAAAGUAAGACAAAAGAUAUAAUAAUAUUUUGAAAUGACUAAGAAUUUAAACAAUAAGAAGUUUCGGACAAUAUCAGCACAAUAAAUAGAGGUACACAGCAGGGGCACUCCUGAUGUACCGCCUCGUUGUCCCAAAUAUAAAGAUGCGGUACAGGGGGAUCUCUCGAGGAACCACUUCGUAGUCCCAAAGUAAAUAUGCAGUACAGAGGGAUCUCCCGAGUAAACGCCUCGUAGCCCCAAAGUAAAUAUGCAGUACAGGGGGGAUCUCCCGAGUAAACGCCUCGUAGUCCCAAAGUAAAUAUGCAGUACAGGGGGGAUCUCCCGAGUAAACGCCUCAUUGUCCCAAAGUAAAUAUGCAGUAUAGGGGGAUCUUCUGAGGAACCGCCUCGUAGUCCCAAAGUAAAUAUGUAGCACAUAAUCGAAGGAAAACACAAAUUUUUAGCAAGAAUCUUACAGUUAAAGAUUUAAUUCAAAUUAAGGGAAAAUAGGUAAUUCAACUAAGCAUGUGGCACAAAUUGCAAGUAAGAGUUAAGGCACGUAGACAUGCGAUACUAGGCUAAACAAGGUCACUACAUAUGCUAAGGCAACUCAGUUAAUGUAUUUUGAAAGAAGACAACUCAGAUAAGGAAAUUCAAAAGAUGACAAAUCAGCAAGAACCGAAUUUUCCAUAUUCAAUCCGUGCACGCACUUGUCACCUCGCGUACACAGCGCUCAUAUAUCACAAAUGGUUACAACAAUUCCAAAACCUAAGGGAAUUUUUCCCCACACAAGGUUAGACAAGUCACUUACCUCAAAUAUCGCUCAAUCAAUCGAUAAGAAUGCCUUUCUCUUGAUUUUUCAACUCUGAAUGGCCCAAAUCUAGCCAAAAGCAAUUUCAUAACAUGAAUAUAAUUACAAGAAACUAAUUUAAAUCAUAAAUCUAUGACUUUAUUAAGGAAUCAAAAAAUCGCCUCAAAAAGUCGACCCGGGGUCACGUCUCGGAAUCGCGUAAAAGUCACAAAAUACGAACACCCAUUCAAUAUCGAGUUCACCCAUACCAAAACUGCCAAAAUCCGACGCCAAGUCUCCCCUCAAAUCCCCAAAUUACACUUUCCAAAUCCCUAGCCUCAACUCCCACAUUCCACCUUAAACACACACAAUCUAGGUGGGGAAAACAACGGAAAAAUAAGAUUAUUGACCAAAAAUAAGCACAAGGGACUUACCUCAAUAAAUCCCUCGAAAAUGCUCUCAAAAAUUGCCAAACCCGAGCUCAAAUGUCCAACAAAUGAUAAAAAUCCCGAGCCCUUGAAUUUAUAGAAUCUGCCCAGGCUUUCCGCUUUUGCGGACCAAAUUCCGCUUCUGUGGCGAAGUCUCUCCAUCUGCGGAGUUCACUUGAAUCCCCAGGUUCCGCACCCACACGCAAAUCUCCGCAUUUGUUGAUGCACUUCUGCAGUCCCUCGUCUGCUUCUGUGGAAGCCUCCCCAAGCACUCUCCCGCUUCUGCGAUCGAUCCCCCACAGAAGCGACUCCGCUUCUGCGGCCCUCAUACUGCACCUGUGACCACUGGCAAAUUCCCCUAGCUCCGCACUUGUGCCCCACUGCUCGCACCUGCGGUCAACCUUGCGCAGGUGCGAUUACACCAGAACCAGCCCAGCACCAGCAAAUCUUCUAAGUUCAAAAAUGAUCCAUUAACCAUCCGAAACUUACCCGAGGCCUCCGGGACCUCAACCAAAUAUACCAACAAGACAUAAAAUAUCACACGAACUUAGUCGAGCCUUUAAAUCACAUCAAAUAAUGCUAAAAACACGAAUUACACAUCGAUUCAAGCCUAAUGAACUUCAAAGUUUCAAACUUCUACAUCCGACGCCGAAACCUAUCAAAUCAAGUCUGAUUGACCUCAAAUUUUGCACACAAGUCAUAAUUGACAUUACGGGCCUACUACAACUUUCGGAAUCGGAAUCCGACCUCGAUAUCAAAAAGUCCACUCCCGGUCAAACUUCUCAAAAGUCAUCCUUUUUCCAACUUUCGCCAAUUAGCGCUAAAAUGACCUACGGACCUCCAAUUCAACAUCUGAACACGCUUCUAAGAUCAAAAUCACCCUACGGAACUAUAAGAACCGUCAAAACUCCAUUCCGGGAUUGUCUUCAUACAGUUCGAACUACGGUCAAUUCCUAUGACUUAAACCUCCAUUUUAGGGACUAUGUGUCCCAUUUCACUCCGAAAUCAAAACAAAUCCUCCCGGCAAGUCAUAAAACCCAAAAAUGAAUUAGAGGGAACAGUAAAUAGGGGUUCGGGAUUAAUUCCCUCAAAACGGCCGGCCGGGUCGUUACAAUUAUAAAUAAAUAACUUUGACUUUUCUAGAUCCUUUUACCCAUUAAAAAACGUACUCCAAAAUUUAGAAGAAAAAACUUAUACAUAAAAAAAGGUAAACUGAUACCCUAAAAUUCCUACCAUAAAUAAAUGAGAAAAAUAGUUUUCAAGAAGGAAUCAAUUAUUUACAAUUCCAAAUUCUCGGUAACUUUGCUACUUAUCAAACAAAAACUUAUGAAUUGUUUAUUUACCUUUUUAAUUAUUCCAUUUUGAUUUUUAAAAAUGUCGUGUUUUUAUAUCAAACGUAUAAUUUAAUUUUUUAUUUUAUUUUUUGGAAAGCAACAAGUUCAUAUAAUUCAAUAUAAGAAACGAACCAUCCUUGCUUCUUUAUAAAAUUAUAGUUAAUGUNNNNNNNNNNNNNNNNNGUUAAUGUGUCUUUGUCUCCAAAAACAAAAAUAUUAUUACACUAACAACUAAUUAUGUAUCAACAUAUCUUUUUGUAACAUUGAUAGAUAAUAUUACCCUUCAACGUACUAUUUCUUCAAAACAUUAUAUAUAUAAAAUUAUUUAAUAAUGAAUAAUAGAUAAAAGUAUAGAAUAUUCAUGGUUCCUUAUAUAAUUGUGAUAUCCUCUUUAUUGUUCGUUUUCUUAGAAUAAUACAAGCAUGUUAUAUUCAUCUUAAUCUUUUAAGUUGUUUUCUAUAAAGAAGUUUAGAGAAUAUAAACUGACUUACAUACGAUCGUGAGUAAUGCUAAUACAAAUAAACAUAUUGUGCUUAUUCUGAGCUUUUAAACUAAAUACAAAGCCCAUAUAUUGAAAUUCAAUAAGACAUAUCAGGACUUUGUGGGGUGACGUUUCUUUUCUUAUAAAAUUAGUUACACAAAUUAACAUUCAUAUUUUUAAGAAGUUAACUAUUUCCUUUAGUUUAAAUUCUAUAUCAAAAUAUUUUUAAUAAUGUUUAUGUGAUUUUUAUAAAGAUUUUGAUCGUAACAUGGGUACACGCGCAUCGCGCGAAUCCUAAGACUAGUUCCCUAAAUUUCGUCUGGCGAUUUUCGACCGAAAUCCGUCGAAGAGCAAACCGUCCACUUUCGGUCGGAAAUGGCCAAAAUAGUAUUUUUCCUUUUUUAUAAUUGAACCGACCCAAGUUGGUCGAUAAAUUUAGUGCCAAUGCUCGAGAAAUAUAAUUUGUGUCCGUAAUUUCAAUAUUCCGACCGAAAUUAGUCGGUAUCGAGUCAAACUUUGACUUCCACUACAAGAAAAUCACGAAUUACAUGGGGAUUUUCUUGCCGAUUAUAUAGGACAAUUCCCAUGUAAUUUAGUUUCUUGCGGAUUUUCCUUCAAACAAAAAUCUGAUGGAAAAACCUUCGUGGGUAAACAAAAAUCCUUGUUCCCCUGCAUAAGACUCCCCGUAUGCACUUUUACUAUUUUUUGACCUGCAUGGAUGGUUAGUUCGGAAUUUGAAAGGGUUCGGGUUGAAAUCGGAACACUUCGUUCCUUGGUUUGGCUUUAAAAGGCUAAGUUUGACUUUGGUCAACAUUUUGAAUAAACGACCUCGGAACCGAGAUUUGACGGUUCCAAUAGGUUUGUAUGUCAAUUUUGAACUUGGGCAUAUAUUCGGAUCGGAUUUUGGAUGAUCCGGGAGCAUUUUAAUGCUUAAUGUUGAAAGUUGGCUUAUUGAAGGUUUAAAAGUUCUUUAAAUAUAGUUUGGAGUAGGUUUUAGUGUUAUCGAGGUCCGUUUGGGAUUUUAAGCCUGGGAAUAGUUCUGUAUAGUGAUUUAAGACUUGCACGCAAAAUUUGGUGUCAUUCCGAGUAGUUUAGGUAUGAUUCGGCGCGUUCGGAGCAAGUUGAAUGAACUUUAAGUUCAAAUAUUGAUUCGAUUGAGUUUGGGAUGUGAUUCUUAGUUUUGGUGUUAUUUUCGGCAUUUCAAGGGUUCGAGCAAGUCCGUCUCAUGAUUUCAAACUUGUUAGUACGUUUGAGCGAGGCCUCGGGGGCCCCAGAUGCCAUUCGGACGAUGCGCGGAAGUCAUUUGGCCUUAGUUGGAUAGCGGAAGCACCAAGCUUCUGAUGCAAUCGCACCUGCGGAGGGCUAGCCGCAGGUGCGAGCUCGCAUAAGUGAGCUAGCAGCGGCAGAAGCGGCCCAGCAUUGGCUGCCCAAUGAUCGAAAAAGCGAGGCAGGGACCGCACUUGUGGAGGCGCAGGUGUGAAGCAUGCGAUUGUAGAAGCGGAAUAGGGUCACAGGUGUGACGCGCUCUCUGCAGAAGCGAGCUCACAGAUGCGAGCCGUUGGUCGCAGAAGUGGAAAAGGUCGACCUGGGUUUGGUCCGCACCUGCAUGGUUUUGUCCGCAGAAGCGGAACCGCAGGUGCGGCAGUGUCAUCGCAGGUGCGAAAAAUCGCUGGGCAGUGAGAUUCAUUUAAGUCAGGAGUUAAACCAUUUUUGACUCAUUUUCUUUCAUUUAUUGGGCAAUUUUGGAGCUUUUGGAAAGGGGUUUUCACCUAGCACUCGGAGGUAAAUAAUUUUUAUACAAUACGAGUUUAAGACAUAGAUUAUGGGUAGAUUUUAACUUGUAAAAUUAUGAAAAUCAUGGGUUUAGAUGAAAAACCUAGGUUUUGAUAUUAAAAAAAUGGAAUUUAACCACGAAAAUGAUUAUGGAAUGGGAUAAAAAUUAUAUAUUUGAGUUCGUAAGGUUAUUGGUAAAAAUUUUCUUCGCAAAUUCCCGGAAUCCGGGCAUGAGGGCCUAGGGGUGAAUUUUAGGAAUCUUCCAAUUUAGGUUGGGUAAUUACUCUAGUAGUUAAAUUAUGAACUUUUGAACAUGUAAUGACUAAAUUAUAUAACAUUUGACUAGUUCCGAGUCGUUUGACACCGAGUUGAUGCUUUAGAGCGAAUUUGACACCGGAAAAAGAGCUUUGAGACAAGGUAAGUCUCUUGCCAAACCUUGUAAGAAUGAAUUUACCCUCUAGGUGAUUUAAAUUUCUAUUUGAUUCUAAUUGUGGGCGCUACGCUGCACUGACCGUGUAGGAUCUGAGGCAAGUGCAUCUGGCGAUCUCACCGGCGCGCAUCCCCAUUACCCGGAGGCGUAGUGGUGAGCUGCUUCCUGAGCCGUUCUGCAACACCUAAAGUCUCUCCUUUGCAUUCAUUUUUAUCUACUUUCAUUUCAGACACUAGCUAGAGUUUUGUAUAAUCUAUUAGUGCUCAUAUACUUGUGACACCAGGUCUUGGCACACACUAGUAGACUUUGUGCUUUUUGAUUAUUACUAUGGUUAUGAUUCACUCAGUUACUUUCGUUUUCUUUAUUUAAAUCUGUUGUUUCUUAACAUUUUAAUUAAGAAAAAAUUUAAU
rnacentral:lncRNA from 1 species